GGCGAGAUGCCAGAGCGGUUUAUCGGGCUUGUCUUGAAAACAAGUGUGUUCGCAAGAGCACCGAAGGUUCGAAUCCUUCUCUCGCCGCCA
rnacentral:tRNA from 1 species